UUUAGAGGAAGUAAAAGUCGUAACAAGGUUUUGCCCACGAGACAAACAGAGAAUCCUUUCUCAGUCCUCGGAAGCCUUUGCAUCCUCUUCAAGGAACCCCCGACUAUAAACAAAGGAACAGCAAGUAGCCUGUCGGCUGCAACAUGAUCGAAUUGCGGGGACUUCCUAAAGCCUGCUCGUACCACCCUCGAGGGAAACCUCGAGGCACGGUUAGAAUCGAGCCGGAUGUGACAAUGGAUAAUCCGCAGCGAAGCCCCUACCGCCUGUCGGCCACGGGGAGCGUUCACAGACUAAGUGAUUAUGGGUGGCCAGCAACCACUUAAGAUAUAGUCGGCCGGCCCGGGAAACCGGGCCUUCUCCCAGCGUUCCGUAGGUGAACCUGCGGAAGGAUCAUUACAGAGUUCCUGCCCUUACGGGUAGAAACCCCCACCCUUGUAUAUUAUAUCUUUGUUGCUUUGGCAGGCCGCCUUCGGGCACCGGCACACGCUGGAUCGCGCCUGCCAGAGGACCCCAAACUCUGAAUGUUAAUGUCGUCUGAGUACUAUAUAAUAGUUAAAACUUUCAACAACGGAUCUCUUGGUUCUGGCAUCGAUGAAGAACGCAGCGAAAUGCGAUAAGUAAUGUGAAUUGCAGAAUUUAGUGAAUCAUCGAAUCUUUGAACGCACAUUGCGCCCCUUGGUAUUCCGAGGGGCAUGCCUGUUCGAGCGUCAUUUAAACCAAUCCAGCUUGCUGGGUUUUGGGCUUUCGCCUCUGGGCGGGCCUUAAAAUCAGUGGCGGUGCUGCCAGGCUCUAAGCGUAGUAAUUCUUCUCGCUAUAGGGCCCUGGUGGAGGCUUGCCAACAACCCCAAAUUUUUUAAGGUUGACCUCGGAUCAGGUAGGGAUACCCGCUGAACUUA
rnacentral:rRNA from 1 species